GAGUAUAAGGAUUCGAGUAUUUCUUGGAGAAUGCAAUUUAUGGCAAGAUGUCAUUGCAAAUUCAGAAAAGUGUAUUUCAGAAAAAGUUCGAGAAAUGAAAGAAAAAAGAACAAGGAAGAUUUUGCAAGGAGUAAUGCAUAAAGAAGUCUGGAUGCGUGUUGCGAGUUUUGAUUCUCUAUCUCAGUUAUGGAAUGAGCUUGAAUUGAUUUGCAAGAAUUAUAAAGGUUCAUCGUUA
rnacentral:lncRNA from 1 species